AAUAAUGUCAAUAUGUAUAUCAAUAUUGGGAGGUGUUGUGUGUUUUAAAAUCAACUCAAAAGACCUCUUUUUAUAGGUGAAAAAUGGUGUAUGUCUGUUACUUAAUUGGAAAUCAAUUAUGCUGAUUUUGUGCCCAGAUAAUCGAUUAUUCAGUAUCUGAUAAUCGAUUAUUCUCCAACGUUCAGAAAUCAGAAGCUGAUUUUCUGCUGAAUAAUCGAUUAUCUGAUACUGCAUAAUCGAUUAUUCUGUGGCAGUGUUCAAACAGUGGCAACGGUCUACAGCAUAAUCGAUUAUGCAUAUACUGAUAAUCGAUUAUUCUGAGGC
rnacentral:lncRNA from 1 species